rnacentral:rRNA from 1 species
ACGAACGCUGGCGGCGUGCUUAACACAUGCAAGUCGCACGGAAAGGCCCUGCUUUUGUGGGGUGCUCGCGUGGCGAACGGGUGAGUAACACGUGAGUAACCUGCCCUUGACUUUGGGAUAACUUCAGGAAACUGGGGCUAAUACGGGAUAGGAGCUCCUGCUGCAGGUGGGGGGUUGGAAAGUUUCGGCGGUUGGGGAUGGACUCGCGGCUUAUCAGCUUGUUGGUGGGGUAGUGGCUUACCAAGGCUUUGACGGGUAGCCGGCCUGAGAGGGUGACCGGCCACAUUGGGACUGAGAUACGGCCCAGACUCCUACGGGAGGCAGCAGUGGGGAAUAUUGCACAAUGGGCGGAAGCCUGAUGCAGCAACGCCGCGUGCGGGAUGACGGCCUUCGGGUUGUAAACCGCUUUCGCCUGUGACGAAGCGUGAGUGACGGUAAUGGGUAAAGAAGCACCGGCUAACUACGUG